rnacentral:lncRNA from 1 species
GAAAAGUUUGAGCUUCCUUAGACAUUAGUAUUUAUUAUUUUAUUAUCAACCAAGUUUCUCUUUUUGCUCUAAAAAAGGGUUAAUUAAAAAAGAAAGCAUCAUUGAGCUACUCCAACUCUUUUGGAGUUCUCUUUUGCUGAAAUAUAUGUGGCUUCCUCCUUCGAAACUAUCAAUUGUCAUUGAGUGACCGUUCAUCUAUACAUGUCUACAAAUAUGAGACAUAAGAUUGUCAGUUGAUCUGGGAGUGGAGCAAUGGCCACUGCUGUGAAGGUGAGGGAAAGAUAAAAUUAUAUCCAGUGAUUACUGUGCCAUCAUCUCUUUUGAUAAUUAUGAAGAAUAACUAUUAAAAAGUAAGCAUCAAAGAAAAUCUUAUCUUAGGGACUAUGCUUAAAUAAGCUUGGGAUCUGAGUCCUAGGGAACAAUCACUUCUUUGUGCAAGCUGUUUUCUGCUAAACCCCUUAUUUCCAAUCACAGAAUUAAAGGCAAUAAAGAAAUCAAAUUAUAUGAAGAAUAUUUACCUGUAAGAAUCUUUCAAGGAUGUUACACACUUCAAGACUGAAAGAAACUUUCAGGAUUCAAAAAUGAAAUAUGAAAGCCAAAUGGAACAAUGGAAGGAGAAAAGAAUAGAAGAAACAAAAAAUUAAGUGGAGUCCAAAGAGGAGCCAAAGAAUCUGUUCUUCUAUGCAAUUUUCAGGCCAUAGAUCAAGGGAUUCAGCCUGGGAAUCACUGCAGUGUAAAACACCAUGGCUGCUUUGCCAGUAUCCACACUGUUGGAAAAACUGGGCCUGCAAUAAGUGAAAAGUAUGAUUCCCUGCAAGACAGCAAUCACUGUGUGGUGGGAGGCACAGGUAGAAAAGGCUUCGCACCUUCCCUCUGCAGAGCGUAUACUCAGGAUGGCGAUGAGAAUAAACCAGUAGGAAGUGAGGAUGAUCACGAUGGUGACAAUUUCACUGAAAGUGGCCCCAAUUAAUAAUGGACAUGACAUAGCAAGCAAGAGUAAAGAGAGGGGGUAAAUCACAAAAGAAGUGGUGACUACAUUUGACCUACAGGAUGGGAUUUCAAGAGCUAAACACAAGUAAACCAAAGAACACACAGUUCCACAGAUGUAGAAGCUAGAGACCAGGACCAUACAAAAUUUCUGGGACAUGGAGAGCAUGUACAGCAGUGAACUACAGAUGGGCAAAAAGCAGUCACAAGCCAUCACAGUCAGCAGGAAGACCUCAGUGACUGCACACAUGCAAAGCAAAUAGAAUUGCACCAUGCAUCCCAGGAAGGAAACUGAUUUUUCCUUGUUUAAGAUAUUGGAAAGCAUCUUUGGCACGAUGAUCACGGAAUUGCAAAAAUCCACAAAGGACAAGUGGGUGAGAAAAAAGUACAUGUAAGUGUGAAGUCCAGAGCUGACCUGAUUCAGUGCAAUCAUGCCCAGGUUGGCCCAAACUGUGACUCCAUAUACGAGAAGGAACAGAGGGAGAGAAAGACUCUCAGCUCAGGGUCAUGUGAUACUCCAGGAAGAAUGAACUCUGUCACAGUGGUACCGUUCCCCUCGCUCAUUUCCACCAUAUGUCAGGAUGGGAAACCAAACGAUGUUUUGCGUUUCUUCUAAAAAGAGAACAAGAGAGAAAACAACACAUUUAUAUUAACUUUGGAAAAAUAUAACAUUGACAGUGAUUUAAGAUACAGUUGUCAAAUAAUUCAAAAUUUUCAAUGUCUCAGUGGAUCUCACUGAUCAAAAUAAGUUUAAGUAUCAGCAGAAACCUAUAUGAUUCCCAACUGUUAUCUGCUAUGAUAAAUUGGGUUGAUGAAUUAAAUUAGGUGUUUUGUUGGAAUCUGAAACAGGUUCAAUGAUUUUACAGCCUCAUGGAGAUAAACUACUGUUCUUUGAAAAAUGUAGCAAUUUCUGUCCAUGUAGGGUGACAGCUAUUGUGAUCCUAUAUAGUGUACACUAUCUUUUUAGAUUAGUUUAUCAGUAGCAUAAAUUUUGCAGGGGGUGAGGAGGUCCUGUACAAUUUCCAUGCAGGGACUGAGACCAAUUUUUUUGAGCUUAGUGGCUCACAAUGAUUCUUUAACUCUAGAAUUAUGCAGAAUGAAAAAUAGAGAAUUAAAAUAUAUUCUAAAAGCCAUCAUCAUUUUUACUUAUCAAAUUAGCAAAGUAAUGUAGUUAAUUAUAAUGAUAAUAAUCUAUGUCAAUAAUGACUCAGAAAGAUGUAACUGUUGUAUACACUUUUCUGGAAAGCCAUUAGGCAACGUAUGUCCAAAAUCUUAACCCUGACGACAGUAAAAGCUAUACGAUAUUUUUUAUGAGAGGUUUUCUUCUUUUUUUUAAAUCAGAAUUUAAGUUUAAGUUUUUUUUAUUAUUUUUUAUUUUUUUAAAGAUUGGCACCUGAGGUAACAUCUGUUGCCAAUAUCUCUUUUCUCCCCCCCUUCUUCCUUCUUCUUCUUCUUCUCUUUCUUCUUCUUCUCCUCCUCCUCCUCCUCCUCCUUCUUCUUCUCCCCACAGCCCCUCAGCACAUAGUUGUAUAUUCUAGUUGUAAGUCGCUCUGGUUGUGCUCUGUGGGACGCCACAUCAGCAUGGCUUGAUGAGCUGUGCCACAUCCAUGCCCAGCAUCAGAAUCAGCGAAACCCUGGGCCACUGAAAUGGAGUGAGUGAGCUUAAACACUGUGCCAUGGGGCUGGCCCUGAGAUUUUCUUCUUGUGCAUCCUGAAACUACUGUCACAAAACCUAUCUUCCUGAAGGAGAGAGUCUCAUGACAGAAAAACUAAAAAACUAUCUAUAAAGAGUACCAUUGGCAGUGAAGUUUCAUGUCAUCUGGGCCACCCACUCACAGGAGAGCUGCUUUGCUUACCUAUUUGUCUUAGAUUUAAAAACAUGGCAGGUUUUUUUAAAAACUAAUUUAAAAAUAAAUAUUUUAUUGAAUUUGAUUUCAUGGUCAUUAUCCCUAAAUUGAAUAACAUCAAUAUGAAGCUCUGAGUUUUGAUGAAAUGUAUUCAAAACACAUACGAUAGUGCUGUUUUAGUAAAAUAUUGUAUUGGCAAGGUUCAAUGCAAUCAGCAGUAUGUUAAAUUUUCUAAACUUUUUAAUUCCAUCUAUUUUUUGGAAGAUUAAUCCUGAGCUAACUGCUGCCAAUCCUCCUCUAUUUGCUGAGGAAGACCGGCCCUGAACCAACAUCCGUGCCCAUCUUCCUCUACUUUACAUGUGGGACGCCUACCACAGCGUGGCUUGCCAAGUGGUGCCAUGUCCACACCCGGGAUCCGAACUGUCGAACCCAUGGCUGGCAAAGCAGAACGUGGGAACUUAACUGCUGCACCACUGGGCUUGCCCCUAAUUCCAUUGUUUUAAUCAAGGUGCCUCCAAGUGGAAUAACAGAUAUACUUAAUUGUUAUAUGAUAAGAUGUGGAAGGUCUUUUGGUAACCUUUUCAGAAAUUAAGAAAGUGAGUGUUUCUAAUGAUUGCAGAACAAACCACUCCAAAACAUAUUAAUUAAAAUCAACAACUAAAGAUUAUUGUGAGAAAUUGGCACGUAACUUGGAUGGAGUUGAAAGAGUUGAGUGAUAUUCCUAUUUUAGCACAAUCUCUGACAGUUUCUAGUCCCAUUUCCAUUUAAUAUGACCAAGCAGUCUCCGUAUUUUCACCUAUUAAAAAGUGGAAAUAGAAAUGAUGCUGAACCCUCUUGCUUUCUAACAUUGUGAUAUCUUUCCAAGGAUACAUUAAUUAAUUGAAAUAAAUAAUCCAAACAUAUAUUCAUAAUAUUUCUCACACAAAGAAUAUUUCCAGGGCUCAGCCCCAUGGCUGAGUGGUUAAAGUCCUGCGCACUCCACUUCAGCGGCCCAGGUUCACAGCCCAAAUCCUGGGCGCAAAUGUACUCCAGUCCCCAACCACACCGUGGAGGUAACCCACAUACAAAAAAAUAGAGGAAGAUUGGCACAGAUGUUAGCUCAGGCUUAUUCUUCCUCAGCAAAAUAAAAUAUUUCCAAAAAUAUUUUUUCAAUUUUGAUUGAUUAUAUUUUAUCCAAAUUUGCAAUGCAAUUAUAUUUUAAUUAGUGGUAUAAUUAUUAUUGAAUCAUUACAAGGUUAACUUAAUACAGAAAGAAAAACUUUUGAUUUUGCCAAAAGCAUUAUGAAAUAAAAAGUAUGAAUCUGAUUAAUAGCAUUGUAGUGAUCAAUGGGAGGAGUAGGAUUGAAUGUAAAUUCAGGAGAAGGAAAGGCACAAACAUGACUGUUUUGGAUGUCAUUUAUUUAUGUAUUCUAAAUGGAUAUGCAAUGGAAAUUACAGUUUUUGUUAUUUAAGUUUAUGAUGAAAUAUUGUAUAUGUAAAAUUAAAUUCUUCGAAUAUAUACCUUUUCAAAACUAAUUGAGAAGCGUAUGACCAAAAGAUGUGAAGACUACUAAUAUGAGUCAUGUUGUAUAUAGAAGCAACAGAAUCUACUAUAAAGAAUCUGAACUGUCACAACCUGAUAAUGGAAAACAUAUUGUAUGCCAGUGUUUAAUGGAAAGUGUGCUUCUGAUAUGUCUGGAGUCUUGAAUGAUUUCAUGAAUUCUAUCAACAAUUGCUUUUACAAUGUUGGCGAGGUCACUUAAGCAUCAUAGGCCUUGGUUUCUUCAAAGUAAAGGCAAACGGUUUGUGGUAAUUCUAUCAAAAAAUGUGCUCAUCCUUGGUGCAAGCAGGACAGAAGUAAAAUAAACUUCUCUAAAAAAAGGCAUUAACCAUUACGGAUUCAGUUUAAGAUUAAUAUAAAUAAUUUCUUAAUUUCAAAGAAAAUUAGAAAUUGCAUAAUUGCUAAAUGUAUAACAAAGAUAAAUUUGUAAAUAGCUAGAGAAACAGAAGUCAAUAGAAGAGAAAAGCAUUCCCUCAUCAGACAUCCAAUAUCUAAAACACUAUUUUAUUUUUCCAUAUAGAAUGGUUAUUUAAUUGAUUCCUUAUUAUAUAAUGUAUAUGAAUGGAACAUUUCAAUAAUGAACAUAAGGUUAAAAUAACAUGAACAUUCCAAAUAACUUUAUUGAAUCCAUAUAAAAUUGUUCCCCACGUUAGAUUUUCUUCCUUACUAAAAUACCUGGAAAUUUAUUUCUUCCAUUAUAUUGAUGAUUAGUUUGGAAUUUUAUCUAGACAUAUUGAUUAAAGAGAAGGAGAAGGACGUAUAAUUUAUUCAAGCAUAAGUGAGUUAUUAAUGUUAAAGAAAUCUAGAAUUUUUAAUUUACCAGAUCAAAUAGGUCUUAAUAGUAAUGAAUGCCUGCUUUUCAUUUUAUUUUGAAUAAAGUUAUAUAGGUGAUUUGUUUCCAACACUUGAGGUGACUCCAGACACUUUUUUUUUUUAAGAUGGGAGUUCAAUUGAGAAGGAUUCAGAAAUUACCCUCAUGUUCAGGAAAAAGAAUCAAGGAAUUGAUUAUGGUUUUCAUGUGUUUAUAGGCAGAAUGAAAGUAUGAAGUACAGAUUGGGUUGAUACCGUGCUUACUUUUUGCCUAUAAGAUUUCUUGAGAGGCAAUCUAUUAUUUCUAUGCCUCUGGUGGAGUCUAUCACAGCUUAUCAUCCUACCAUACUUGAGCUCCUUUGAAACACAUUCAGAAUAAAGGCCGUGUCUUAUCAACUUUCCAUUCAUGCCAAGUAACCUGUAUACACAAUAAUAUACACACACAUGUGCAUG